rnacentral:lncRNA from 1 species
AUGUUCUUUCGUGGUUCUACAUGCGCACUAAAUAAAAGUCAUGCUCACUGUAUGUUCAAUGUUUGGGUGGUUUUACAUAUGAGGCCACAUACGCACUCUGAAGACAGAGAGAUACGAUUCAGGUAUUCUGGAUGGAUGCGUUGCUGGGAGAAGCUAACUUUUUUCAUUUCCCUUUACAGAUCCUGGCAUCACCGGACAGACCCGAGACCCGAGUCCAGUCUCAGCCCCAGGUCCGGUCCGGUCCGGUCCGGUCCGGCCCGGCCCCGGCCCCCCUCCAGUCCUGCUUUGCUCAGCAGCCCAGCCCGCUCCAGGAGCCAUCAGGCUGUCAAAGACAUACUGGGAAUUAAGAGCAAGAAAAAGGGAAGAAGGAGAGAGAGAAGGCAACGAGAUGGAACCGCUUUCUUCCCAUUGCGUCCCUGUGGAGCGCACAGCAUUCAGCCUGCAUGGAGGCGACACGCUGCCACCUGGUGGCUUGGUACGGUGGGACAGCUGGUGUUGUGAAUCAGGCCGCCACAAUGCCCGGACCGGCUCCUUCCCAACACCAGGGUCUCACCGUCGCCCCUCUCUCCUAUCACCGUGCUAUCCUGCCUACAUAUUGUCGCAGACUGCCGUAACUAAAAUUGCAAUGAAUGUAUUGAAGUACAAUGUGUGAAGAAGACGAUUUAGUAAAAAUAUUUCUCCAAAGACAAGUAAAAUUGACAGACAAUGAAAAUACAAAGUGUGUGGGGACAUGGGCAAAUAACGUCGCUUAAAUAGCAUGUUUUUUAUUUUUUUAUUGGAUUUUUGAAUUGAAUCAUCUGAUUAAAAACGCCACCAUGAAACUCAUUGUUUUCUUGUAUUAAGAUCCAUUUGUAAAUAUUGUUAUAAAACCUGUAAUACCUGGACUUAUGUCGACUAUAGGCUACUUGGUGACGUGUGUGUGUGUGCGUGUGUGUGUGUGUGUGUGUGUGUGUGUGUGUGUGUGUGUGUGUGUGUGUGUGUGUGCGCGUGUACACCUAGGCCUAGUAUGAAACAUAAUAAUUUGAUGUUUGAUGCUAUUGUACACAUGAGCUUAUGAAUAUAGUUAGGCUAUAUAAAGGUUUCAAUAUUUUGAAAAACAACACAAGGACAAGCACAAUAUAAUAUACAUGACCACUAUAUUAAGAUCUAAAAAAAUACCUGUACAGAAAUCAACAAAAUCUGCUCUGGUAGCCUACAUAAUUCUGCUAAAUCCCAGGCCUGUUGCCCAUACACCCAUGACCCACUAGGUGGCACUAAAGUCUGUUUUCAAUAUUGCAUGAUCAAUAUGCAUAUAUUGAAAGGCGUCCCCACUUCCGCCUCGUGCCCACUACCUCCGUCCGACUUUGAAUGGGGACGGACGCGCAAUGCAUUGUGGAUCCGUCCGUUCCGUUGGAGCCUUCCGCCUCGUGCCCACUACCUCCGUCCGUUGACUGAUCCCCAUUGACUUCGAAUGGGGACGGACGCGCAAUGUCCGUUCCCUUGGAGCCUUCGGGUCUGUUCGAAAUGUAGUGGCGUUGCUGACUGAUGGGGAGUAGUCUUUGCAGAGGCAUCCGUCAGCCAAUCAAAUCGCUUCGCCGGGUUCUUCCCGCUACUUCCUGCUUGUUGAAAUGCAAGAUGACCCGCUUUCCCGCUUUCCAGUAUCGUCAGAGCCCGAGUCGCGUCACAGUGUUUAAAUUUGCAGACGCGAUCUGAUUGGAUGACGGAUCCGUGCCCACUACCUCCGUCCGUUGCGUGAUCCCCAUUGACUUUAAUGGGGACGGACGCUCAAUGCAUUGUGGAUCCGUCCGUUCCGUUGGAGCCUUCGGCGCCGUCAGAAAGUUGAAAAAUGUUCAACUUUUUCUGCAGCGACGGAUCCGUCAUCCAAUCAGAUCGCGUAUGCAAAUGUAAGCACUGCGACGCGACUCGGGCUCUGACGAUACUGGAAAGCGGGAAAGCGGGUCAUCUUGCAUCGCAACAAGCAGGAAGUAGCGGGAAGAACCCGGCGAAGCGAUUUGAUUGCUUGUUGCGAUGCAAGAUGACCCGCUUUCCCGCUUUCCAGUAUCGUCAGAGCCCGAGUCGCGUCACAGUGCUUACAUUUGCAGACGCGAUCUGAUUGGAUGACGGAUCCGUCGCUGCCGAAAAAGUUGAACAUAUUUCAACUUCUUGACUGAGCCGAAGGCUCCAACGGAACGUACGGAUCCACAAUGCAUUGCGCGUCCGUCCCCAUUAAAGUCAAUGGGGAUCACGCAACGGACGGAGGUAGUGGGCACGGGGCGUUACUUAUUACUACUUACUACCUACUCAAUACUUGGCUUACUACUCGAAUCCUUAAAUAAUGAUUGAGUGAUCCAUUUGAGUAAUCGACGUUCGGAAGACCGUUCUUACUUAACCACCUCAGAUGACGUGAAUCAAAUGACGUGUCAAUAACCUACCGGCCGGGCGCCGUUAAUAAAGAUAUGUUAAAAACAAUUAUUUAAAAAAACAUUUAAUUAUUUUAUAUUUUUCUUGUCUAUUGUCUGAUUUUCCCGCGUUUCCUCUUCUUUGUCCUAAUGCUAGAUUGCCAGUUAAUACAGAAUAUAUAGCCUACAGAUAAAUAGACCGAUAGAUAGAUUUAGUUAGAUUAGACAGACUGCCUUUUAUAUUUCCAUUUUUGAUUUAGAUUUUAUAUAUUUUCCAAUCAUUUUGAUAGAUUUUCGUUAUUUUAUUGUUUUUUUAUCAUCGCGUUCGUAAAAUGUACCUGACCAGCCGUAGGAGAGCCGCAGCAGCACGGAGACGAAGGAGGGAGUCAGCUCGCCGUCGAUACAUGGUUGCCAUGUACGGACAUUUAUGUUGUAGCACUGAAG